rnacentral:rRNA from 1 species
UGCGUAGGCGGAUUAAUAAGUCAGUGGUGAAAACCUGCAGCUUAACUGUAGAACCGCCAUUGAUACUGUUAGUCUUGAGUACGGUCAAGGUAGGCGGAAUGUGUGAUGUAGCGGUGAAAUGCUUAGAUAUUACACAGAACACCGAUUGCGAAGGCAGCUUACUGGACCAUUACUGACGCUGAGGCACGAAAGCGUGGGGAGCGAACAGGAUUAGAUACCCUGGUAGUCC